rnacentral:rRNA from 1 species
GGGGAAUAUUGCACAAUGGGCGCAAGCCUGAUGCAGCCAUGCCGCGUGUGUGAAGAAGGUCUUCGGAUUGUAAAGCACUUUCGACGGGGACGAUGAUGACGGUACCCGUAGAAGAAGCCCCGGCUAACUUCGUGCCAGCAGCCGCGGUAAUACGAAGGGGGCUAGCGUUGCCCGGAAUGACUGGGCGUAAAGGGCGUGUAGGCGGUUUACACAGUCAGAUGUGAAAUCCCCGGGCUUAACCUGGGAGCUGCAUUUGAUACGUGUAGACUAGAGUGUGAGAGAGGGUUGUGGAAUUCCCAGUGUAGAGGUGAAAUUCGUAGAUAUUGGGAAGAACACCGGUGGCGAAGGCGGCAACCUGGCUCAUGACUGACGCUGAGGCGCGAAAGCGUGGGGAGCAAACAGGAUUAGAUACCCUGGUAGUCCACGCUGUAAACGAUGUGUGCUAGAUGUUGGGUAACUUUGUUAUUCAGUGUCGCAGUUAACGCGUUAAAGCACACCGCCU